rnacentral:rRNA from 1 species
AUUGAACGCUGGCGGCAGGCCUAACACAUGCAAGACGAGCGGAUGAAGGGAGCUUGCUCCUGGAUUCAGCGGCGGACGGGUGAGUAAUGCCUAGGAAUCUGCCUGGUAGUGGGGGAUAACGUCCGGAAACGGGCGCUAAUACCGCAUACGUCCUGAGGGAGAAAGUGGGGGAUCUUCGGACCUCACGCUAUCAGAUGAGCCUAGGUCGGAUUAGCUAGUUGGUGGGGUAAAGGCCUACCAAGGCGACGAUCCGUAACUGGUCUGAGAGGAUGAUCAGUCACACUGGAACUGAGACAAGGUCCAGACUCCUACGGGAGGCAGCAGUGGGGAAUAUUGGACAAUGGGCGAAAGCCUGAUCCAGCCAUGCCGCGUGCGUGAAGAAGGUCUUCGGAUUGUAAAGCACUUUAAGUUGGGAGGAAGGGCAGUAAGUUAAUACCUUGCUGUUUUGACGUUACCAACAGAAUAAGCACCGGCUAACUUCGUG